UACGGAGGGUGCAAGCGUUAUCCGGAUUCACUGGGUUUAAAGGGUGCGUAGGUGGGCAAGUAAGUCAGUGGUGAAAUCUCCGGGCUUAACCCGGAAACUGCCAUUGAUACUAUUUGUCUUGAAUACUGUGGAGGUCAGCGGAAUAUGUCAUGUAGCGGUGAAAUGCUUAGAUAUGACAUAGAACACCAAUUGCGAAGGCAGCUGGCUACACAAAUAUUGACACUGAGGCGCGAAAGCGUGGGGAUCAAACAGG
rnacentral:rRNA from 1 species